CCUACGGGAGGCAGCAGUGAGGAAUAUUGGUCAAUGGCCGGAAGGCUGAACCAGCCAAGCCGCGUGAAGGACGAAGGUGCCAAGCAUUGUAAACUUCUUUUGUCAAGGGACAAAAUCAGGCUCGAGAGCCUGACAGCGGGUACUUGUAGAAUAAGCAUCGGCUAACUCCGUGCCAGCAGCCGCGGUAAUACGUAGGUGGCAAGCGUUAUCCGGAAUUACUGGGUGUAAAGGGAGCGUAGGUGGGUUGCUAAGUCAGAUGUGAAAGCUACGGGCUUAACUUGUAGACUGCAAUUGAAACUGGUUUUCUUGAGUGAAGUAGAGGGUGGCGGAAGUCAGGGUGUAGCGGUGAAAUGCGUAGAUAUUAGGAGGAACACCGGUGGCGAAGGCGGCCACCUGGGCUUUAACUGACGCUGAGGCUCGAAAGUGUGGGGAGCAAACAGGAUUAGAUACCCCAGUAGUC
rnacentral:rRNA from 1 species